UUAUAAUGCAAGUCGAGCGGACAGAUGGGAGCUUGCUCCCUGAAGUCAGCGGCGGACGGGUGAGUAACACGUGGGCAACCUGCCUGUAAGACUGGGAUAACUCCGGGAAACCGGGGCUAAUACCGGAUAAUUCUUUCCCUCACAUGAGGGAAAGCUGAAAGAUGGUUUCGGCUAUCACUUACAGAUGGGCCCGCGGCGCAUUAGCUAGUUGGUGAGGUAACGGCUCACCAAGGCAACGAUGCGUAGCCGACCUGAGAGGGUGAUCGGCCACACUGGGACUGAGACACGGCCCAGACUCCUACGGGAGGCAGCAGUAGGGAAUCUUCCGCAAUGGACGAAAGUCUGACGGAGCAACGCCGCGUGAGUGAUGAAGGUUUUCGGAUCGUAAAACUCUGUUGUUAGGGAAGAACAAGUACCGGAGUAACUGCCGGUACCUUGACGGUACCUAACCAGAAAGCCACGGCUAACUACGUGCCAGCAGCCGCGGUAAUACGUAGGUGGCAAGCGUUGUCCGGAAUUAUUGGGCGUAAAGCGCGCGCAGGCGGUUCCUUAAGUCUGAUGUGAAAGCCCCCGGCUCAACCGGGGAGGGUCAUUGGAAACUGGGGAACUUGAGUGCAGAAGAGAAGAGUGGAAUUCCACGUGUAGCGGUGAAAUGCGUAGAGAUGUGGAGGAACACCAGUGGCGAAGGCGACUCUUUGGUCUGUAACUGACGCUGAGGCGCGAAAGCGUGGGGAGCA
rnacentral:rRNA from 1 species